rnacentral:tRNA from 1 species
GGUAGCUCAGUGGUAGAGCAGGUGGCUGUUAACCACUUUGUCGCUGGUUCGAAUCCAGCCC